UAUAAGUAUAACCUGCCAGACAGGGAAACUGCGUACGGCUCAUUACACCAGCUGUAAUUUACUUGACCUUGACAACCUACUUGGAUAACUGUGGUAAUUCUAGAGCUAAUACAUGCACCAAAGCUCCGAUCCUCGCGGAGAGGAGCGCAUUUGUUCGCCACAAAACCAAGCGCCUUCACAGGCGUUCAGUGUUGACUCAGAACAACUCAGCUGAUCGCACGGUCUCGUACCGGCGACGUGUCUUUCAAGUGUCUGCCUUAUCAACUUUCGAUGGUAGUGUACCUGACUACCAUGGUGAUGACGGGUAACGGAGGAUAAGGGUUCGACUCCGGAGAAGGGGCCUGAGAAAUGGCCACUACGUCUAAGGAUGGCAGCAGGCGCGCAAAUUAACUCUCAACAUGAGGAGGUAGUGACGAGAAAUAACGAGACUGUUCUCACAUGAGGCCAGUUAUUGGAAUGGGUACAAUUUAAACCC
rnacentral:rRNA from 1 species